CGGCGCGCUCGCUGGGGACGCUGCGGCCGGACCUGCCGCGCCCGCUGAUCGAGCUGGUCGACCGGGCGCUGGCGUUCGAGCCGAUGGCGCGCUGGCC
rnacentral:tRNA from 1 species